rnacentral:misc_RNA from 1 species
UUUCGAAGUAAUUUUUUUUGAAGAAACUGUAAAUAUUGUGAAGGAGAAAAAUCGUUCGAGCUAGACGAAGAAGACGAAGAUCAAAAGAUGUCUACGGAAAUACAUUCUUCUUCAAUUUCAGAAUCACCAGAUGGAAACAGUCUGUUUGUGGACGUACUGCAUGAAGCACCUCUAUCCGGUCAUAGGAAGCCUACGAGCCUUAUUGGGAGUAUUUUCUACUGUUUCUUAUUGGCAGGCUUUGCUGUUUUGGCGGUGGGAGCUACAUGGAUAUUUCACCCUAUAGAAAGAUUAGUGUUCCCACUUCUUUGCAGUUGUAAUGCUGCCCUCCUUCUUGUCACAGGCAUUUUUCAGCAAUAUUUGGUCUAUCAAGUCAAGAAAAUACGGUUACAGGGGUACUAUAUUUUCAGCCAGAAACUGAAGCACGUUAUUCGCCUACCAUUUGCUACAAUCGCAUAUGGAACUGCUGCGAUGCUGCUUGUCAUGGUUUGGGACCCACAUAUUGGCAUCCUCUCUAUGUUGACACUAUUCAGG